rnacentral:rRNA from 1 species
UACGAAGGGGACUAGCGUUGUUCGGAUUUACUGGGCGUAAAGCGCGCGUAGGCGGAUCGCUAAGUCAGGGGUGAAAUCCUGGAGCUCAACUCCAGAACUGCCUUUGAUACUGAGGAUCUUGAGUUCGGGAGAGGUGAGUGGAACUGCGAGUGUAGAGGUGAAAUUCGUAGAUAUUCGCAAGAACACCAGUGGCGAAGGCGGCUCACUGGCCCGAUACUGACGCUGAGGCACGAAAGCGUGGGGAGCAAACAGG